rnacentral:snRNA from 1 species
UUGCUGGCUUUGACAGCACACAUUCUAAAAUUGAAACAAUAUAGUGAAGAUUAAUAUGGCCCCUGCAUGAGGAUGAUGUGCAAAUUCAUGAAGUGUUCCAUAUAAAA